CGGCACUCCAGAUGUUUUGGACUACACCUCCUAUGAUGCUUUACAGAAUGAUGGGUGUAGAAGCAUUAUGGGGGAUGUAGUCCACAACAUCUGGAAUGCCG